AUGCUGACGACCGGCGCACGGGUGAGUAACGCGUAUGCAACCUGCCCCUGACAGGAGGAUAGCCCUAGGAAACUGGGAUUAAUACUCCAUGUAUUAUCAAGUAGGCAUCUAUUACAUAAUAAAGCUACGGCGGUCAGGGAUGGGCAUGCGUGCCAUUAGUUAGUUGGUGAGGUAACGGCUCACCAAUGCAUCGAUGGCUAGGGGUUCUGAGAGGAUGAUCCCCCACACUGGUACUGAGACACGGACCAGACUCCUACGGGAGGCAGCAGUGAGGAAUAUUGGUCAAUGGGCGCAAGCCUGAACCAGCCAUGCCGCGUGCAGGAUGACUGUUCUAUGAAUUGUAAACUGCUUUUCUGCGGGAAGAAAUGUACCUACGUGUAGGUAUUUGCCGGUACUGCAGGAAUAAGCAUCGGCUAACUCCGUGCCAGCAGCCGCGGUAAUACGGAGGAUGCAAGCGUUAUCCGGAUUCAUUGGGUUUAAAGGGUGCGCAGGCGGUGUAUUAAGUCAGUGGUGAAAUGCUGCGGCUCAACCGUAGACUUGCCAUUGAUACUGGUACACUUGAAUGUAGUUGAGGUAGGCGGAAUGUGUAAUGUAGCGGUGAAAUGCUUAGAUAUUACACAGAACACCGAUUGCGAAGGCAGCUUACUAAACUAUGAUUGACGCUGAGGCACGAAAGCGUGGGGAGCGAACAGGAUUAGAUACCCUGGUAGUCCACGCUGUAAACUAUGAUCACUGGUUGUUGGCAAUAUACCGUCAGCGACUGAGCGAAAGCAUUAAGUGAUCCACCUGGGGAGUACGUCGGCAACGAUGAAACUCAAAGGAAUUGACGGGGGCCCGCACAAGCGGAGGAACAUGUGGUUUAAUUCGAUGGUACGCGAGGAACCUUACCUGGGCUUAAAUGUAGAGUGCAUAGAGUGGAAACAUUCUUUUCCUUCGGGACUCUUUACAAGGUGCUGCAUGGUUGUCGUCAGCUCGUGCCGUGAGGUGUCGGGUUAAGUCCCAUAACGAGCGCAACCCUUGUCGUUAGUUGCUAGCAGGUCAAGCUGAGGACUCUAACGAGACUGCCGGUGUAAACCGAGAGGAAGGUGGGGAUGACGUCA
rnacentral:rRNA from 1 species